rnacentral:tRNA from 1 species
GAGGUUUUAGCUUAAUGAAAGUGCUUGAGUUGCAUUCAGGAGAUGUAUAUUCGAGUUUUACAGACCUU